CUACUGUCUGGCUUUUUCAUUCUAGAAACCUCCCAUCUUUACUCCCAAUUCUUUUCCGCUAAUCCCCCCUUUUCUUCCUUAUUUUGCUCCGUCCCUCUCCCUCUGAUUCUUCCAAAUUUUUAUCACUCGCUUCAUCUCCAUCUUUUUCUUCGUAUUUCUUUCCGUUCAUCUUCCUCUUUUCUUCCUAAUUUUUCUGGGAAGCAAUUGGCGAAUCAAAACCCAAAUCAAAGUCUAAGUCAUCUGGGUAUUCAUGGGUCUGCUUCUCCGGCGUCAAUGGUGAAGGUCUGCGAUCAGGGAGUCUGGACUAGGAUCUGGAUUUGGAAAUGGUAGAUGAAAGGGGCGAAGCAGGGGCAUAGUUUAUAUAUUGGACCUGGGUUCCGAAUCUUGUGAGGGACAAGUAGAUGGGAGGGGCGAAGCGAGGAGGGACGAAGCAGGGAGGAGUUGGCUUAGCAGUCCGGCAGAUUUUGGGGGGUUUCGCUAAGACCCUUUAGCGAAGUGCCUAGUCCCAUUUAGUCGGGACGAGUCUCAUUAAAGCUUGUCCCGGUUUGUAUCAAACACAGGACUAGACUACCCCUUAGUCCAGUCCAAUCUAGUGAAAGUU
rnacentral:sRNA from 1 species